ACUUGGUGUUACUGCGAAGGGGGGACGGAGAAGGCUAUGUUGGCCGGGCGACGGUUGUCCCGGUUUAAGCGUGUAGGUGUGUGUUCCAGGUAAAUCCGGUUCACUUUAACACUGAGGCGUGAUGACGAGGCACUACGGUGCUGAAGCAACAAAUGCCCUGCUUCCAGGAAAAGCCUCUAAGCAUCAGGUAACAUCAAAUC
rnacentral:rRNA from 1 species